GGGAGAUAACUCUGUAAUAUCAGCUAAACGUUUUAAUUACAUUGCGUUGUGAAGGCAAUAUAAAGCUUCUCAAUGAUCAAAAUUAGUGUUUGUGAAACUGCUAUAUAAUCAGUGUAAUUUUUCUGAUAAAACGCUUGGUUCAAAUUUUUUCAAUUUUUUAUAUUUUUGUUAAAGGGUCAAAGUAAAUACUUUGUAAAAAAUUUAUGAAAAUUAAACGAGCCAAA
rnacentral:lncRNA from 1 species